rnacentral:rRNA from 1 species
CUACGCACUCCUACGGGAGGCAGCAGUGGGGAAUAUUGCACAAUGGGCGCAAGCCUGAUGCAGCCAUGCCGCGUGUAUGAAGAAGGCCUUCGGGUUGUAAAGUACUUUCAGCAGUGAGGAAGGUGGGUAUGUUAAUAGCAUUACUCAUUUGACGUUAGCUGCUAGAAGAAGCACCGGCUAAACUCCGUGCCAGCAGCCGCGGUAAUACGGAGGGUGCGAGCGUUAAUCGGAAUUACUGGGCGUAAAGCGCAUGCAGGUGGUUUGUUAAGUCAGAUGUGAAAAGCCCGGGGCUCAACCUCCGGAAUUGCAUUUGAAACUGGCAAACUAGAGUACUGUAGAGGGGGUAGAAUUUCAGGUGUAGCGGUGAAAUGCGUAGAGAUCUGAAGGAAUACCGGUGGCGAAGGCGGCCCCCUGGACAGAUACUGACACUCAGAUGCGAAAGCGUGGGGAGCAAACAGGAUUAGAUACCCUGGUAG